ACAACAACGCAGAUGCCCUCUCAUACCUCCCUGACUUUUUGCAGCAGUUGACGUGAUUUGGCUUCUGGUGCCAGCUAUUCCGACGGGUACAACCGCCAAGUUUGCUAGACACUGGCACGUACCAUACAUAGUCGAAGAGAAGCUCUCAGCUGCCACCUACCGCAUCAAGCUGUCAGAGCCCACGGCAUAUCGCCUGAUAGUGCACGUCAACCGACUGAAAGUUUGCCAUCAUCCACCGAGUCGGCUACAGGAGGUCCACGAGCAGGAUGAGUCGGAACCACCGCAGCCCAUGGCGUCCACCCUGACUCCUACCUACCAGCCAGAUGCCACUGAUAUCGCCGCCCGAGACGAGGAGGACACCACUCGGGUAGUUGCCAGUUGGCGUGAUGGAAAGGCGAUCCCCGCGUUUCCGCCAUCCACCCCAGCUGUUUGGGAGUCCGGUGUGGCACGACUUCAGUGAUGGCAAGUUGGAAGUCAUGGGUUUAUAUUCGUCUUUGCAUAUAGCUCGUUUGCAAAUCUCCCUAGGUGACCCGUUACGACUUGGUCAGGCCGAAUCUGUGAAACCGCAGUUGAAAAGCGGAGUGGCCUCUGUCAAUCGUCAAGGUGUGUGUGAGACCGUGUGAAACAGUCGGCUUUCAAGAUUUCUGCCCACCGGAUGUUAUGCAGCGUACCUCAAAAUGACUGUACACAGAUGCAAUUGACCUAUGUGCAGUACCCAGCGGUGGUCUGCUAUGCAGCGUCACCGGCUAUCACCACGCCGUCGCAAGGACACAGUUCGCCAUGUUCAACGUUAGUAUCGUGCUAGCGACGAUCAGGCAGAGGAUGACGCUCAAUAAUACACCCGUGUGAAGAAGGUGCAAAAUGAACGUAAUUUCUCAAGACUAGCGAUCAACAUGCGGUGACUGUCCGCUAAUCACGAUCUUGACGAUUUGUUGGUACAAUGUGGUUGGCAUCUCCCCUAGCUCUUCUGACUUCUGUUUGCUUUUUCUUGUGCUUACGUUGUACUGCUGCUGCUGCUGCUGUUGCGUCAGCUUCUUGUUGUUGUGCAAUGCCUUAGUGCCUUUUGUCCCCCCCCCCCCCCCCCCCACACACA